UACGAAGGGGGCUAGCGUUGUUCGGAAUUACUGGGCGUAAAGGGCGCGUAGGCGGUUUGUCGCGUCGGGAGUGAAAACCUCGGGCUUAACUCGGGGCUUGCUUUCGAUACGGGCAGACUAGAGGUAUGCAGGGGAGAACGGAAUUCCUGGUGUAGCGGUGAAAUGCGCAGAUAUCAGGAGGAACACCGGUGGCGAAGGCGGUUCUCUGGGCAUGAUCUGACGCUGAGGAGCGAAAGUGUGGGGAGCGAACAGG
rnacentral:rRNA from 1 species